GACGAACGCUGGCGGCGUGCUUAACACAUGCAAGUCGAGCGGUAAGGCCCUUUCGGGGUACGACGAGCGGCGAACGGGUAGGAGUAACAACGUGGGUGGACCUCGCCCUCCAGCUCUGGGAGUAAAGCCUCGGGAAACCGGGGUACCGUAAUAACCGGAUAUGACUCCAUGACGCAUGUUGUGGGGUGGAAAGCCUUGUGCGGCUGAGGAUGGGCCCGCGGCCUAUCAGCUUGUUGGUGGGGUGAUGGCCUACCAAGGCGACGACGGGUAGCCGGCCUGAGAGGGCGACCGGCCACACUGGGACUGAGACACGGCCCAGACUUCUACGGGAGGCAGCAGUGGGGAAUCUUGCGCAAUGGGCGAAAGCCUGACGCAGCGACGCCGCGUGAGGGAUGACGGCCU
rnacentral:rRNA from 1 species